GACGUAGGGCGCGAGCGUUGUCCGGAUUUAUUGGGCGUAAAGAGCUCGUAGGCGGCUUGUCGCGUCGUUCGUGAAAACCCACAGCUCAACUGUGGGCUUGCGGUCGAUACGGGCAGGCUGGAGUUCGGUAGGGGAGACUGGAAUUCCUGGUGUAGCGGUGAAAUGCGCAGAUACCAGGAGGAACACCGGUGGCGAAGGCGGGUCUCUGGGCCGAUACUGACGCUGAGGAGCGAAAGCCAGGGGAGCGAACGGG
rnacentral:rRNA from 1 species